CCUACGGGCGGCAGCAGUGGGGAAUAUUGGGCAAUGGAGGCAACUCUUACCCAGCAAUGCCGCGUGAAUGAAGAAGGUCUUCGGAUUGUAAAGUUCUUUAAUUGGGGACGAAAAAAAUGACGGUUCCCCAGGAAUAAGCCCCGGCUACCUACGUGCCCGCAGCCGCGGGAAUACGUAGGGGGCAAGCGGUGUUCGGAAUGACUGGGCGUAAAGGGUGUGUAGGCGGUGUAGCAAGUUAGAAGUGAAAUACCUAGCGCUUAACUCAGGUGCUGCUUCUAAAACUGGUAUACUUGAGUGCAGUAGAGGAAAGUGGAAUUCCUGGUGUAGCGGUGGAAUGCGUAGAUAUUAGGAGGAACAUCAGUGGCGAAGGCGACUUUCUGGACUGUAACUGACGCUGAGGCACGAAAGUGUGGGGAGCAAACAGGAUUAGAUACCCUAGUAGUC
rnacentral:rRNA from 1 species